AAAAUGGUGACUUCGAAAUUGUGAAAAAUAUGAUUCAGUUUUUCAAGGAUUCAAGUCUUGACAUUAUCCAUUCCAAAGAAUCAACCUCUGGUAAUGGAUCUCUGCAUUUGGCAUGUCGGAAGGGCCAUUUUGACAUAGCUCAGGAAUUAUUGGAGAAUGGAGUGUCUCUUAAUGCAAGGAAUGCCAUGGGCUCAACUCCAUUCUUCUUUGCAGCAGAGGGACAGCAUCGUAAAAUAUGCCAGCUUUUAAUUGAAUGGGGUUGUGAUGUACAUGCAAAGAACUUGAAAA